GACAGAGGGGGCAAGCGUUGCUCGGAAUUACUGGGCGUAAAGGGCGCGUAGGCGGGAUGGCAAGUCGGUCGUGAAAUCCCUCGGCUCAACCGAGGAACGUCGAUCGAUACUGCUGUUCUUGAGGAUUGCAGAGGAGACUGGAAUUCCCGGUGUAGCGGUGAAAUGUGUAGAGAUCGGGGAGGAACACCGGGUGGCGAAGGCGGGUCUCUGGGCAAUUCCUGACGGCUG
rnacentral:rRNA from 1 species